CCUACGGGUGGCAGCAGUGAGGAAUAUUGGUCAAUGGACGAGAGUCUGAACCAGCCAAGUAGCGUGAAGGAUGACUGCCCUAUGGGUUGUAAACUUCUUUUAUAUGGGAAUAAAAUGUUCCACGUGUGGGAUUUUGUAUGUACCAUAUGAAUAAGGAUCGGCUAACUCCGUGCCAGCAGCCGCGGUAAUACGGAGGAUCCGAGCGUUAUCCGGAUUUAUUGGGUUUAAAGGGAGCGUAGGUGGAUUGUUAAGUCAGUUGUGAAAGUUUGCGGCUCAACCGUAAAAUUGCAGUUGAAACUGGCAGUCUUGAGUACAGUAGAGGUGGGCGGAAUUCGUGGCGUAGCGGUGAAAUGCUUAGAUAUCACGAAGAACUCCGAUUGCGAAGGCAGUUCACUGGACUGCAACUGACACUGAGGCUCGAAAGUGUGGGUAUCAAACAGGAUUAGAUACCCGAGUAGUC
rnacentral:rRNA from 1 species